rnacentral:rRNA from 1 species
AAAACAUCGCCUCUUGCAAUAUAAGUAUAAGAGGUCCAGCCUGCCCAGUGACCGCAAGUUAAACGGCCGCGGUAUUUUAACCGUGCAAAGGUAGCGCAAUCACUUGUCUUUUAAAUAAAGACCUGUAUGAAUGGCUAAACGAGGGCUUAACUGUCUCCCAUUUCAAGUCAGUGAAAUUGAUCUAUCCGUGCAGAAGCGGGUAUAAUAAUACAAGACGAGAAGACCCUUUGGAGCUUAAGGCGUAAAACUCAACCAUGUCAAGCAACUCAAUAAAAAUAACUUUAAACUUUGUGGUAAAUGAGAUCACUGCCUUCGGUUGGGGCGACCACGGAGAAAAAGAAAGCCUCCAAGUGGAAUGGGGAACAUCCCUAAAACCAAGAGAAACAUCUCUAAGCUACAGAACAUCUGACCAUAAAUGAUCCGGCCAACCAAUGACCGAUCAACGAACCAAGUUACCCUAGGGAUAACAGCGCAAUCCUCUCCCAGAGUCCAUAUCGACGAGGGGGUUUACGACCUCGAUGUUGGAUCAGGACAUCCUAAUGGUGCAGCCGCUAUUAAGGGUUCGUUUGUUCAACGAUUAAAGUCCUACGUGA